rnacentral:rRNA from 1 species
CCUACGGGAGGCAGCAGUAGGGAAUUUUCGGCAAUGGGCGAAAGCCUGACCGAGCAACGCCGCGUGAACGAAGAAGGUCUUCGGAUUGUAAAGUUCUGUUAUAGAGGAAGAACGGUGUACGUAGGAAAUGGCGUACAAAUGACGGUACUCUGUGAGGAAGCCACGGCUAACUACGUGCCAGCAGCCGCGGGAAUACGUAGGUGGCGGGCGUUAUCCGGAAUCAUUGGGCGUAAAGAGGGAGCAGGCGGGCUGGAGGGUCUAUUGUUAAAAGGCAAUGGCUUAACCAUGGUAAGGCGAAGAAACCGGCAGGCUAGAGUUCUAAAGAGGUUCGUGGAAUUCGAUGUGUAGCGGUGAAAUGCGUAGAUAUUAGGAAGAACACCAGUGGCGAAGGCGGCCUGCUGGGCUUUUACUGACGCUGAGGCUCGAAAGUGUGGGGAGCGAACAGGAUUAGAUACCCGGGUAGUC